rnacentral:rRNA from 1 species
CAGUAGCCGCGGUAAGACAGAGGAUGCAAGCGUUAUCCGGAAUGAUUGGGCGUAAAGCGUCUGUAGGUGGCUUUUCAAGUCCGCCGUCAAAUCCCAGGGCUCAACCCUGGACAGGCGGUGGAAACUACCAAGCUGGAGUACGGUAGGGGCAGAGGGAAUUUCCAGUGGAGCGGUGAAAUGCGUUGAGAUCGAAAAGAACACCAACAGCGAAAGCACUCUGCUGGGACGACACUGACACUAAGAGACGAAAGCUAGGGAGCAAAUGGGAUUAGAUACCCGUGUAGUCCCUGUCUCUUAUACC